CUCAGAACGAACGCUGGCGGCGCGUNUUAAGCAUGCAAGUCGAACGGUAAGAAGUGCUUGACUUCUUGAGAGUGGGAACGGGUGAGUAACACGUAGGUGAUCUACGCAGGGGUUGGGGAUAGCCCAUGGAAACAUGGGGUAAUACCGAAUACGCUCAUUUGGCUGUGACCGGAUGAGGAAAGGCGCUUCGGCGCCGCCCUGCGAUGAGCCUGCGCCCCAUUAGCUAGUUGGUAGGGUAACGGCCUACCAAGGCGACGAUGGGUAGCCGGCCUGAGAGGGUGAUCGGCCACACUGGGACUGAGAUACGGCCCAGACUCCUACGGGAGGCAGCCGCUAAGAAUCUUCCGCAAUGGACGAAAGUCUGACGGAGCGACGCCGCGUGGGUGAACGAAGGCCCGGAACGGUUGUAANNCGCCCUUUUCUCCGUUGAGCGAAUAAGCACCAGCGAGGCGAAUUGCCCUGUGGCGAUGAACGGUAGGCCGAGCGAAUAAGUCCCGUGCCAAUUACGUGCCAGCAGCCGCGGUAACACGUAUGGGACGAGCGUUGUUCGGAAUCAUUGGGCGUAAAGGGCGCGUAGGCGGCGAGGUAAGCCUGGUGUGAAAGACCGCAGCUUAACUGCGGAACCGCGCUAAGAACCUGCUUUGCUUGAGUUCAGGAGGGGGGAACUGGAAUUCCAGGUGUAGGGGUGAAAUCUGUAGAUAUCUGGAA
rnacentral:rRNA from 1 species